CUGGGCAACCCUGCUCGCUUCAGACUGGGCCCCACAACCCGAACUGGCUCUGCCCAAUCUAUCCUGUUACUGUUCUGAAGUCGAUUUUGGUAUACUGAGUGGUAUGUCUCAAUCAAGUUUUGUAUGUUCUGUGGUUUGUCUCAAGUUUGAAGUUGAGGGGAGACUCUGCCAGCAACCAAGGACUUCUGUUCAGACCUGAAUGGGGGCACAGGUUCGAUCCCUGACUGGGGAAGUUCUGCAUGUGGUGUGGUAUGGCAGAAAAAAUAAAAGAAGAAAGUCCGGUGCCCUUCCCAGUCUGCUGAUCCACCAGGUGUGGCAGUCAUAGCCUUGGUGGUGGAAAAAUGACAAGAACAGUCAGAGGAAGGGCAUCACUGAGAGACCAUGAGAGGCAAUGAGAGGAGAACGGGAUCAAGGCUCUUCUUGUCCUUACACUAAAAGAUCCGUUAUUUGUGGUAACCUUAGUGAACUUCUGUUCCUUAUAGAAUCACUCUCAAAUAGAAAACACGACUUUCUAGUGACUCUAGAUGAUUCUCAAAAAGAAAUCUUCAUUUCUGAAAGGCAGUAAAUUGAAUAGUACCAAAAAGGGCACUAGCUGUCUACUGGUUAUGAGGAGCAGGUUAAAAAAAAAAGAUAACGCUACAUUGUUAAAGUGUAUACGUUGCUUGUUAGUCCUAAAUUUUUUAUGAAAUAAAAAGACACUUACUCCUUGGAAGGAAAGUAUGACCAACCUAGACAGCAUAGACUUCCCUGGUGGCUCAGAUGGUAAAGCAUCUGCUUACAAUGCAGGAGACCCAGGUUCGAUCCCUGGGUUGGGAAGAUCCUCUGGAGAAGGAAAUGGCAACCCACUCCAGUACUCUUGCCUGGAAAAUCCCAUGGACGGAGGAGCGUUGUAGGCUACAGUCCAUGGGGUCUCAAAGAGUCGGACACGACUGAGCGACUUCACUCAGACAGCAUAUUAAAAAGCAAAGACAUUACUGUGCCAACAAAGGUCAGUCUAGUCAAGACUAUGGUUUUUCCAGUAGUCAUGUAUGGAUGUAAGAGUUGGACUAUAAAGAAAGCUGAGCGCCGAAGAACUGAUGCUUUUGAACCGUGGUGUUGGAGAAGACUCUUGAGAGUCCCCUGGACUGCAAGGAGAUCCAACCAGUCCAUCCUAAAAGAAAUCAGUCCUGAAUGUUCAUUGGAAGGACUGAUGUUAAAGCUGUAACUCCAAUCCUUUGGCCACCUGAUGCGAAGAGCUGACUCAUUUGAAAAGACCCUGAUGCUGGGAAAGAUUGAGGGCGGGAGGAGAAGGGGAUGACAGAGGAUGAGAUGGCUGGCUGGCAUCACGGACUCAAUGGACAUGAGUUUGAGUAAACUCCCGGAGUUGGUGAUGGACAGGGAGGCCUGGCGUGCUGCAGUCCAUCGGAUGGCAAAGAGCUGGACACAACUGAGCAACUAACUUAACUGAGUCCUAAAUUGUAUCCCAGUCUUUUGUGACCUUAUGGACUAUAGCUCACCAGGCUCCUCUGUCCAUAGGAUCUUCCAGGGCCAAAACCAUAGCUUUCAUGAUUGAACAAGAAGAAUUAAAUGCAGGGAAAGAAGAAAUAAACUGAGACCAUUAUAAAAACAGCAUCAAGGAAAUCUGGAAGAUGAAAUAAGAAUUAAAAGCAGAAUUUAACAAUUCACAAAACAGAGCACCAGUAGAAUUAAAAAUAAACCACAGAGAAAGGUCUUUAUAAUAGUUUGAACCUGGAUAAACCUCUGGCAAAAUUAAUGUAGAAAGAAAGAGGAAAGACAAGUAUACACCUUUAAGAAUGAGAAGAGCCAACUGACUGGAAAAGAACCAGACGCUGGGAAAGAUUGAGGGCAGGAGAUGAAGGGGGUGGAGGAUGAGAUGGUUGGAUGGUAUCACUGACUCAAUCAGCGUGAGUUUGAGCAAACUCUGGGAGAUGGUGAAGGACAGAGAAGCCUGGCGUGCUGCAGUUCAUGGGGUCGCCAAGAGUCAGACACGACUGAGCGACUGAACAACAACAGGAGUGAGAAAGAGGCUAUAACCACGGAUACUAAGGAGAUCAAAAACAUAAGGGGUGGUGCUGUGUAAAACCCAUCAGUACAUUUGAAAAACUCAAUGAUAUGGGUGUUUUCUAGAAUGUAAAUGGUCAAAAUGGACUAAAAAUGUACUGGAACAUAAAAUUAAGCAAUCUCCAUGAGGUGUUUGUCAAGAGGGUCUAAGCAAUCCAAGUUGGGCUGGCGUACAGCAGCCAGACCAGGGCCAAGUCUGUGAAGCUGCACAAAGUCCUCCAGGCCAUCUGGUCUACCUGCAGUGCCCCUGGGCGGAAGGGCACCCCUCUUUGUUCUGAGAACUGGGGACAGCCUGGGAGCCACCACUAGGAUUCCUCUCCUCUCGCACAUCUGUGCUCCCCUUUGCCACUCUGAGAUUACAAAACAACAAGAACACACUCCUUGCCAAUAUUUCUACUGAACAGCUCAAGCUCCAAUGUCACC
ensembl:lncRNA